UGUAGGAAAGUGAGCGAGUGCUGGGACGGGUCCUGGGAAAAGCAGACCUUCCUCUCUCCGGACCUCAGGGCCCCCCGGGAGGGCGAGAACUCGGGAAGCUGAGCGGGACCCUUGUUGGGAAAUCGGGCGGCACUAGUUCCUCAUUGGGGAGCACAGCCUCACUCCCAAGGCGGCUGAAAGCCCCGAGUUGCUCAGCCUGGUGGGGGGAGCCGGGUCGCGGGUCCUCAGAGUCCAGUGCUGGUCCUGGGGCCUGCUCAUGUGCCUCCAGGGGGACAGUGACUCACACCCUGGGUCCCGGAGCCCACAUGUCGAGAAGGAAGCUGCCACUCUGACGGGCCAGAAACAUCUGUUCCCCAUUCGUCAUUGUCAAGCUCUGAUGUCUUUUGGGACUGUGCUUGAAGGACAGUUUUACUGUCGUCACCGAAAAAGCAAAAGGAAGCAAACAGUGCAGGCCCCUCAACUUGGGACUUUUUCUGUGUCACUGGAAAGCCAUUUCAGUAAACAGGCCCGGUGACCACGCCACCCUCCCGGCCCUGGCGAGGCGAGUCGCUAAUGUGGCCCCUCCCCUCUCCAUACUGGGCUGCCAUGAGAAACUCGCAGAUGAAUGCCCUUGGCCGCGGGGCUGGGACAGAAAGGACCCGCAGGAAGCCUUCCCGUCACCUGGGCUUCUCUGUGCACCUUUUGAAAGACACCUAUGACCCGGCCCUGCGUCCCUGAGGCUCUGCGGGCACCAUCCCUCUGAGAGCAGCACCUCGGGCUACCUUCCAGGCCUUUAGCAGCUCCUGCUCUGACCUGGAAGUUUCUAAUACAAACAUGUUCCUGCGACCUGUGAGCCAGUUCAGACUCGCAGAACGUGCACCGCCGUGCAUGCACGCCCUGCACACGCUUGGCUGUGAGGGCUCCGGCUACCGCACGAGGGCUGGAAGCCGCACGGAUUCAGAGAGGCCACAGGUGCCCCUCCCAGCCCUGGCGCACCUUCCCGGGCAGGGAGGUGUCAGGUUUGGGCAGCCAAGAGGAGGGUCCACAGCAGGAGGGGGUCUGGGGUCCUGGGAUGUGAACAGUCAUCCCCCUUUCCUUGCCCCAUCCCUACCCUUGCCUUCCCGCUUUUCUCAUGCGAACUGUUCCGGUUUCCUGUGGCUGUUGUAACAGCCUUGGUGGCUUCAAACUGCAGAUCCCCAAAUCAGCCUCACUGAGCUCAACCUCACUGAGCUAAGGUCCAGGCGUUGCUCUCUUUGGAGGCCCUGUUGGAGCCCUUGACCGCUCCAGCUCGCGGUGGAGCCUGCAUCCCUGGGUGGUGCUUGGAGAGGUCUAGCGACAAAGGUGCGACCCAACCUUGUCAGGGCAGCUUCGGUGUCCCCGGGGCCACGGGCAUCAUUCCAUCUCGCAGCACAGUCUCCUCUGGGGCAGUGCUUCCUCCCGUGGCGGGGCAUCUGGGGGAGGGCUGGGGCCUCUCCCUCCUGGUACAGCCAGAGGGGACACGUCCCUGAGCUCGGUGAUGGGGCUGCCCGUGCCUGAGAUUUGGGUGCUUCCGCCAUUCAGCCUGGCAGUGGCCCAGAGAUGGAAUUGCACACUGUGCCACGGCCCCCCGCCCCCUUGGGGCCCGCCCAUUCUCAAACCCCAGAAUCCAGCCUCCCUAUGAUGCAGAAAACUGCCCCCCAUGAUGGGGCUCCAGAGACAGAUUCUGUUCCUUGGCCGCUGAUACCAGUGUUAUUGGUGGAAGUGGGGUGUCCACCAGUAGAAGUGAGGGUGGGGGCUCGGGAUUAGGUCCUUACUACAUUUUGAAGAAAAGAACUUUCUGAGACUCACGGGACGAUGAGUGAUUUUUAUUUGUGUGGAAUUACAUCUCUGGGUUUGCCAAGCCCAUUUCCCUUAAACCAGUCCUGGGAGCCGGGCAGCCGGGGACUCAGCAGAGCUGGAAGCAAAGCCAGUGUCCAGGUUUCUGUUCCGUGAGGAGCUGCGUCCAGCAACAGGCUGGUUUCAGUCCGUCAGUCCAUGGCGUGGGGUCUGCACGGCCAGGAGCCAUGUGGGCGAAUGCGAGGAGCGUGCUGCCCCCUGCAACACGAGAGCCAGGAGCCAGCGCACGGGAGAGGGAACCAGGAGCGCGAACUCCUGGUGCUCAUGUGUCCCACAUCUUCUGGAGCUUGCAGUGGCCACACCUGCUCUGGCCAAUGAUCUGGUCCCACAUGUGCCCGACAGACAGGUCAUAAACCCUCAGGUGAGAGGUGCCCUCCCUACACCUGGAAAACGGGAGCGUCCUUAUCUCUGAAGAGAAAGGGAGACCAAGAAAACUCUUACACACAGGCCUCACCAAGUUGCCCCAGUUCUCCGUGCCUGCCGCCUUCCUCUGCGGCUGUGCCUCUCCCCCAAGCCCAGCCUCAAGUCCUCUGGGUCUUCAUCUCCACGUGAAGGCUCUCAUGUUUUUCUCCUCUUACUCUGUUCUUGUCAGUUUGAUUUUCAGACCCAGCCAAGGGUCCAAGGUGCUUGAGGGAAAACGUUGUGUCCUGCAUUUGCUCAUGAAACACGCACACACACAGCGGUUUGCAGGACGUUUCGGUUACAAGACCGGGCAUGAGGCUCAGCUGUGGCCGUGGAGCCUUAGUGCCGGCAGGGCUUCUGUUUCUGUUUCAACUCUGAAGCGUCUCGACAUGCAAUGCAUGCAUAUGUGUUGAAUGAACGAAUGAGUGAGUGAGUGAGUGAGUGAAUGCUGCAGCCGAAACCAUCCUCUUGCUGGUGGACCAUGUCCCUCCGGAGCUGCAGUCAUGCCUCUGAGAUGAACCCCUGAAAUGCAGCCGAAGAGCCGUGAGCAUCAGCAUUGCCCAUUUUCUUCUUUUCGUUAACAUGCCCCGGAUCACAUACUCUGGAAACAUUAAAACUCAGAUCCCCAAAUCGGGCUUCUCCUUAAGGAUAAGAGGGCUCCUCAUAGUGAAGUGCGUGUUGCUGCCACAUGUUUUAAGCAUUUGGGAGUUACAUAGCUCUAAAUAAAACAAAUAAAACAUGUUCUUCAUCAUCAGAAUGGAUAACUAGGUAACACAUAGGUGUGUGUUUUAAAACUCCGGGUCCUCCUGGGCGUCCUGGAGUUGGAGGCACCAAGAAGAGCCAGGACAGACAGGUUGCAGCUGAAAUCCAGGGAGGCCUUGGCUGGCGUGGAGAUGACGUCAAAGAACAACGCCAGGAGAACAUGCUAAGGCAGAAUCAGGAAGCCUUUCCUACAGAAGCUUCUAGAACAAGAGACAGCUGUCCUGGUGGGAGGCAGUGCCUCUGACGUACAACUCCUGACCUCCUGGCUCAGUGACUAAAGCAUCGUUUUCCCGGAACUGAGAGCCGCCCUGCAAUGUGGGACUUGCGGUGCUAACCCCAGACAGUCCCAGCUGACCGGGGCCUGGUCACUCGAGUUCCAACCUGUCCCUGGAAUUCCCUGGCAAUGAAAGGACAUUGGCCCCUGGGGCCACAGAGGUGCCCCUCUCAUGCACUGGUACGCUUGGGGGUGGUGCAGGCAGGGAGGGGGGAAGGCCCUCCCACCUUUGUCUCCUGGAGCAAAAGCACACGCUUUUCCACGGCCUGGACUCUGAAGUGGUCGCUGGACCCUUGAACACCACUAGGAUUUCAUGAGAGCAACAAGAUUCUAUGUUAACGGUAAAUUUUAAAAUUCGACAAAUAGAGAUGUAUUUCUCAGAGAUGGUACCAAGUUAGUGUGGGAAAUAUUCCUUCUCCAGAGGUGAAACUGCAUUGGAUUUUACUGGAACUUCAAAGGGGGAGCAGGUUGCCCUAGCUGGUGGCUCAAUGGGUUGGAGCAUCAGCUCAUGCACCAAAGGGUUGCAGGUUCAAUUCCCAGUCAGGGCACAUACCUAGGUUGUGGGUUCUAUCUUCAGUCUCUGCAAGAGUGGGGGGCAACCGAUCUCUCUCUCUCUCUCUCUCUCUCUCUCUCUCUCUCUCUCUCUCCCCUCCAAACCCCCAGCUUCCUCUUUCUCUAAAAUCAAUAAACAUAUCCUCAGGUGAGGAUAAAAAGAAGUAAAAGGGAGGGCAGGUUAUAUUAAGCUAACACAGCUGAGUGAAGUUAUUGUCGCAUUUAUUCCCAGGGUGCACCUUAGUGCAAAAACCCCAAACCUGGAUCUGGAGUCCUUGAGGUCUCAGCCCCUGUGUCCCUUCCUCUUCUCUCUUCUCACGGGCUGCUGCCCUCAUGGCCCCUCUCUUAUAUUUAAAUCUUCUAUAAAUACAGGAGGAGCUCAACUGUGUGUCAGAAGUGCAAAAAAUAUAUCUUUCAUCUUUUGUGUUUAUAUCUUAGCUCAUCUUGCACUCAAGGCCCUUUUCCUAUUGGUAGCAACCAGGUAUUUCAUUUUACAAACUGGAGAUGUCUCAGUUUCUACCGUCUUAAACUUAGACCCAGUGAGGUCUAAGCUUCUCAUGCUGCCCAAGGUUCUGCCCCUCCCCCACCUUCUUUUUCCAAAGUGCAGUCCAUCCAGGUGCCAGGAGUGGAUCUGUGUGCCCUGGGGCCAUCAGAGAGGAGGGUCUGGCCUCACAAGGAAGCAGAGCUCCUCACUCCUGGUUGUCAGGUGUCGGCCUCUGACCUCACCAUGUCCCCCUGCCUUGGCAUCUACAUCUGGGGUUAUGUCACCUGUCUCAGCUCGGGCACGGCACUAAGGUCCGCUGUGACGGUGUCUAACCUCAGAUUGGCUGAGAGGUCAUCAAUUCUACCACAGUUUGUUUGUCCAUUCACUCAUGGAUGGCCGUGUGGACUAUUUCCAGUUUUGAAAUAUUGCGAACAAGCUGUUCAGAACACGUACAGGUCAUGUUGUAGACUGAUAUUUUCUCCUUGGAUAAACACCUGGCGGAAGCACUGCCAGGCCACACUGUACGCGUGUGUUUAAUCUGUAAGUAAUUGCCAAACCGUUCUCCAAAGUGACCGUAUGUUCCCACCAGCCAAGUCUGAGAGUCCCAGUGGCUUCGCCUCAGCACCAGCGUUUGGUGUGGUCAGUCUUUACAACUGCAAGCUUCCUAGUACAUGAGAGAUAGAAUCCCGUGUGCUUUCAAUGCACAUUUCCCUGAUCACUGAUCAUGUUGAGGACCUUUGCAUGUGCUUACUGGCCAUUUGUGAAGAAUCCAUUCUAACUUGCUGCCCAUUUUUCAAAUCGAGUUGUAAUCUUUUAUUAAGGAUUUAUAGGAAUCCUUUAUAUAUUCUGGAUCCAAGUCCGUUUCCAGCUACAUACUUUCAGAAUAUCUUCCCCUCCCCCCCCCCGCCCCCAGUCUGUGGUCUGUCUCUUUCAUUUUCAUUUUCUUUUCUCUCAAAGAAUUUGAUGAAGACCAAUAUAUUAUUUAAAACACUUAUGUGAUUAGUGCUUUUGGUGUCCGGCCUAAGAAAUCUUUGCUCACCCCAAGAUUGUAAAGAUCUUCCACAGUUUCAGGCUUUUACUUUUAAGUCUAUAAUUGAUAAGCCUAAAAGUACGUUACCUGACUUUUACUUGAAGAUUUUCUAAAAAUUUUAUUGUUAACUUAUAAUACCUAUAUGGUAAGAGAAUACACUCUGUGUGAUAUCAUAUAGACAAGAGGCAAAAACAAUGGAUAGUUACCUUUUAAUAAAUUAUAGGACAAAAAGAGUAGUCUUUUACUCUACCCACAUACUUAACAUUUCUGGUAUCUUCUUCCCAUGUUGAAGACACAAGGUGUUGUUUCUCUUCGAGCUGAAUAACUUCCUUUCACAUUUCCUAAUGAAAAAUUCUCUCAGCUUCAUUUAAUUAAAAAUGUCUAUAUUACUUUUUGGAAAGAUAUAUUUUAGGAUGCAGAAUUUCAGCAUUUAUCACUUGAUUAUCAUAUCAUUCCAUAAUCUAUGGCCUCACAGCGUCUGAUGAAAUAUCAGGUGUGAUUCACAUUAUUGGUCCCUGGUAUCUGUGUCAUGAUUUCUUCUCUGACUGCUCAAGAUUUUCCUCUUUAUCUUUAUUUUUCAGCAGUUUACUAUUGUGUGUGUGUGUGUGUGUGUGCAUGUGUGUUUAUCUUUUUUGGAACUUACUGAGAUUUGAGGGUUAUAAGUUAAUGUUUUUCAUCAAAUUUUGGACAUUUUCAGUCAUAUUCUUUCAAAUACUUUUUAUGCCAUUCUCUCUCUUAUCCUUCUGAAAUUCCCUGAGAGAUGGUAUAUGUUAGACUGUUUGAUAUUAUACCAAGUGUCACUGAAGUGCUUUCAUUUUUAACGCUUUUCCACUUUGUGUUCUUAAGAUUGAAUGAUUUAUAUUGACCCGUCUUCACUGAUCUUUUCUUCUGUUGCUUCCAACCUUACAUUAGGCUUAUCCACUGAAUUUUUUAUUUCUGAGUCUUGUCAGUUCUAGAACUUCUAUUUGAUUCUUUCAUUUAAAAAAAAAAAAAUGUUUCCAUACCUUUGCUGAGAUUCCCCAUCUGUUCACUCAUUGUGACAAUUUUUUCCUUUAAGUCCUUAAAUAUAGUUAUAAUAACUACUAUAAAGUUCUUUUUU